AUAGUCAUGUGCAACUCUUGAAGUUAUAGUAGCUUUUGCAUCGUGAUGCUUGUUGCCACAUUCACUUUGUACCUACAAUGUUAAGAUACAGAUACAGGUUAUUCAACGCCUUCAACCCAAGAUGCAGAUGAACAAUGUUAAGAUGCAGAUUCAGAUGAUGUUUGUACAUCUGUGUUGCCAGAUGAUCAUAAAAAUACGCGGAGUAUCACUGAUUUCUCUGGCUACUUAUCUUUCCGUAGUAAAGGCUCGUUUAAUUGAGAUUUCCUUGAAGCAGUUUCCUCGACGUUAGCUGUGGAAAUUAGAACGAAGGGUGGGAGGUGCCAGAUUCUGCUUGCAUUCGGUGCAAGUACUGUAGUCCGAGAUGAUAGAGAUGAAGGAAUACCUCUACACGAUGCAUGCGGGGGAAGUUUGGAACAAACACACAUACACUAUGUGGGCCAUUUCAUGAUUCAAGAAUAAUCAGGGUACAAGGAGAUUGUAAGCAUGUUGAUACGCGCUUCCAAGAGUCCGGAGCAGCAGAAACGUGUUCUGGACAUCGAUGAUGAAACGCUGUGCCUUUCUCUGCAUUCUGUGCACCAAUUCACGGAGUAUCUUCUGAAAUUUUUGUAAUAACUCGUGUUAUAGUGUACCGAAUGAACAAUUUUUGCUAAUAGUAGUUUAGAUCAGCAUUUUAUACAUCUGCCUCUUCAACAUACAGCGCUGUAAUUUUUGCGCUUGUUAGUAUCCAAUCUAAAAAACCAAGGGAGGAAGUCCUUUGUAGUUAAAUGUUUCAGAUUCAGAAAAUUUUAUAACUCUAUCUUGGUUGAUUACACAAUCUUUGCACCACGAUCAAAGCUUACCAGACUUCAAUCCAUAAAGAAGAAAACAGCCUAUUCUGUUA